UACGGAAGGUCCGGGCGUUAUCCGGAUUUAUUGGGUUUAAAGGGAGCGUAGGCGGCCUUUCAAGCGUGUUGUGAAAUGCAGUGGCCCAACCACUGGAUUGCAGCGCGAACUGGGAGGCUUGAGAGCGCACGACGCAGGCGGAAUUUGUGGUGUAGCGGUGAAAUGCUUAGAUAUCACGAAGAACCCCGAUUGCGAAGGCAGCUUGCGGGAGCGCAUCUGACGCUGAAGCUCGAAAGUGCGGGAAUCAAACAGG
rnacentral:rRNA from 1 species